UACAGAGGGUGCGAGCGUUAAUCGGAAUUACUGGGCGUAAAGCGCGCGUAGGCGGUUAUUUAAGUUGGACGUGAAAUCCCCGAGCUUAACUUGGGAAUUGCGUCCAAAACUGGGUAACUGGAGUGGAGUAGAGGUGAGUGGAAUUUCCGGAGUAGCGGUGAAAUGCGUAGAUACCGGAAGGAACACCAGUGGCGAAGGCGACUCACUGGACUCUAACUGACGCUGAGGUGCGAAAGCGUGGGGAGCAAACAGG
rnacentral:rRNA from 1 species